GCCGGAGUAGCUCAGCGGCAGAGCAGUGCUUUCGUAAAGCAAAGGUCGCGAGUUCGAUUCUCGCCUCCGGCU
rfam:Candidatus Wildermuthbacteria bacterium RIFCSPLOWO2_01_FTLL_48_29 rifcsplowo2_01_scaffold_6926, whole genome shotgun sequence.